AGAGUUUGAUCCUGGCUCAGGACGAACGCUGGCGGCGUGCUUAACACAUGCAAGUCGAACGAGAGGACAAGAGAAGCUUGCUUCUUUUGGAAUCGAGUGGCAAACGGGUGAGUAACACGUAAACAACCUGCCUUCAGGAUGGGGACAACAGACGGAAACGACUGCUAAUACCGAACACGCUUGGAAGACCGCAUGAUCUUCCAAGGAAAGGGUGGCCUCUACCUGUAAGCUAUCGCCUGAAGAGGGGUUUGCGUCUGAUUAAGCAGUUGGUGAGGUAACGGCCCACCAGACCUACGAUCAGUAGCCGGUCUGAGAGGAUGAACGGCCACACUGGAACUGAGACACGGUCCAGACUCCUACGGGAGGCAGCAGUGGGGAAUCUUCCGCAAUGGGCGAAGGCCUGACGGAGCAACGCCGCGUGAGUGAUGACGGCCUUCGGGGUGUAAAGCUCUGUGAUCGGGGACGAACGGUCCGUAAGUCAAUACCUUAUGGAAGUGACGGUACCCGAAUAGCAAGCCACGGCUAACUACGUGCCAGCAGCCGCGGUAAUACGUAGGUGGCAAGCGUUGUCCGGAAUUAUUGGGCGUAGAGCGCGCGCAGGCGGCUUUCUAAGUCCAUCUUAAAAGUGCGGGGCUUAACCCCGUGAUGGGAUGGAAACUGGAAAGCUGGAGUAUCGGAGAGGAAAGUGGAAUUCCUAGUGUAGCGGUGAAAUGCGUAGAGAUUAGGAAGAACACCGGUGGCGAAGGCGACUUUCUGGACGACAACUGACGCUUAGGCGCGAAAGCGUGGGGAGCAAACAGGAUUAGAUACCCUGGUAGUCCACGCCGUAAACGGUGAAUACUAGGUGUAGGAGGUAUCGACCCCUUCUGUGCCGGAGCUAACACAAUAAGUAUUCCGCCUGGGAAGUACGAUCGCAAGAUUAAAACUCAAAGGAAUUGACGGGGGCCCGCACAAGCGGUGGAGUAUGUGGUUUAAUUCGACGCAACGCGAAGAACCUUACCAGGUCUUGACAUUGAUCGCCAUUCACAGAAAUGUGAAGUUCUCCUUCGGGAGACGAGAAAACAGGUGGUGCACGGCUGUCGUCAGCUCGUGUCGUGAGAUGUUGGGUUAAGUCCCGCGACGAGCGCAACCCCUAUCUUCAGUAGCCAGCAGGUUAAGCUGGGCACUCUGGAGAGACUGCCAGGGAUAACCUGGAGGAAGGUGGGGAUGACGUCAAAUCAUCAUGCCCCUUAUGACCAGGGCUACACACGUGCUACAAUGGCGUAAACAAAGAGAAGCGAACUCGCGAGGGUAAGCAAAUCUCAAAAAUAACGUCUCAGUUCGGAUUGUAGUCUGCAACUCGACUACAUGAAGCUGGAAUCGCUAGUAAUCGCAGAUCAGAAUGCUGCGGUGAAUACGUUCCCGGGUCUUGUACACACCGCCCGUCACACCAUGGGAGUCAGUAACGCCCGAAGUCAGUGACCCAACCGUAAGGAGGGAGCUGCCGAAGGUGGGACCGAUAACUGGGGUGAAGUCGUAACAAGGUA
rnacentral:rRNA from 1 species